AAGCGUUGUGAGGCGUUGAGCUAACCUGUACUAAUUGCCCGUGAGGCUUAACCAUACAACACCCAAGGGGUUU
rnacentral:rRNA from 1 species